AGUGAACGCUGGCGGUAGGCCUAACACAUGCAAGUCGAACGGCAGCACAGUAAGAGCUUGCUCUUACGGGUGGCGAGUGGCGGACGGGUGAGGAAUACAUCGGAAUCUACUUUUUCGUGGGGGAUAACGGAGGGAAACUUACGCUAAUACCGCAUACGACCUACGGGUGAAAGCAGGGGAUCUUCGGACCUUGCGCGAUUGAAUGAGCCGAUGUCGGAUUAGCUAGUUGGCGGGGUAAAGGCCCACCAAGGCGACGAUCCGUAGCUGGUCUGAGAGGAUGAUCAGCCACACUGGAACUGAGACACGGUCCAGACUCCUACGGGAGGCAGCAGUGGGGAAUAUUGGACAAUGGGCGCAAGCCUGAUCCAGCCAUACCGCGUGGGUGAAGAAGGCCUUCGGGUUGUAAAGCCCUUUUGUGGGGAAAGAAAAGCAGCAGGUUAAUACCCCGCUGUUCUGACGGUACCCAAAGAAUAAGCACCGGCUAACUUCGUG
rnacentral:rRNA from 1 species